rnacentral:rRNA from 1 species
GAUGAACGCUGGCGGCGUGCCUAAUACAUGCAAGUCGAGCGAACAGACGAGGAGCUUGCUCCUCUGACGUUAGCGGCGGACGGGUGAGUAACACGUGGAUAACCUACCUAUAAGACUGGGAUAACUUCGGGAAACCGGAUCUAAUACCGGAUAAUAUAUUGAACCGCAUGGUUCAAUAGUGAAAGACGGUUUUGCUGUCACUAAUAGAUGGAUCCGCGCCGCAUUAGCUAGUUGGUAAGGUAACGGCUUACCAAGGCAACGAUGCGUAGCCGACCUGAGAGGGUGAUCGGCCACACUGGAACUGAGACACGGUCCAGACUCCUACGGGAGGCAGCAGUAGGGAAUCUUCCGCAAUGGGCGAAAGCCUGACGGAGCAACGCCGCGUGAGCGAUGAAGGUCUUCGGAUCGUAAAACUCUGUUAUUAGGGAAGAACAAAUGUGUAAGUAACUAUGCACGUCUUGACGGUACCUAAUCAGAAAGCCACGGCUAACUACGUG